rnacentral:tRNA from 1 species
GCGCCUUUAGCUCAGUUGGUAGAGCAGUAGACUCUUAAUCUAUUUGUCCAGGGUUCGAGUCCCUGAAGGCGCAUCA